rnacentral:rRNA from 1 species
UAAGGAAUAUUGGUCAAUGGACGCAAGUCUGAACCAGCCAUGCCGCGUGGAGGAUUAAGGCCCUCUGGGUUGUAAACUCCUUUUAUCUGGGAAGAAAUGUACUUUUUUUAGAGUACUUGACGGUACCAGAGGAAUAAGCACCGGCUAACUCCGUGCCAGCAGCCGCGGUAAUACGGAGGGUGCAAGCGUUAUCCGGAUUCACUGGGUUUAAAGGGUGCGUAGGCGGGCAGGUAAGUCAGUGGUGAAAUCUCCGAGCUUAACUCGGAAACUGCCGUUGAUACUAUUUGUCUUGGAUGUUGUGGAGGUAAGCGGAAUAUGUCAUGUAGCGGUGAAAUGCUUAGAUAUGACAUAGAACACCAAUUGCGAAGGCAGCUUACUACACAAAGAUUGACGCUGAGGCACGAAAGCGUGGGGAUCAAACAGGAUUAGAUACCCUGGUAGUCCACGCCCUAAACGAUGAUUACUCGACAUACGCGAUACACUGUGUGUGUCUGAGCGAAAGCAUUAAGUAAUCCACCUGGGAAGUACGUUCGCAAGAAUG